rnacentral:lncRNA from 1 species
UUAAAAUGUCUUUAGUUGGUAUUAAAAAAAGUCUAAAUUUUACAAUCAAAAAACCUGCAGAAACCCUGAUUGUAGCAAGUGCAGGUUUUUUUUUCUUCUCAAAUGCAGUACCUUUUAGGAGAGACUUCUUGUGGCAGGAUGUUCAUGUUGUUUUUUUGGUGGUGAUAUUUUUUGUGGUUUAUGUUUUAGGCUGUACAAACCCCAAGGAAGAAAAUUAGCAUCAGAGGUAGACCCAGAGCCAGAGUCUCCUGUUCUGAGCACAGAGGUGGAUAUGAGAUUCUACUGGACAGGAUUCCAACUGAAAUCACAUCUGUGCCUUUUAUACUGCAUUGCAUGCUAGAGCAGGUGGUGGCUUUAGAACAGGAAGGAUCUGUUGAUUCAGAAGAGGACUGUGAUAAAACACAUCAAGAUCUAAUCAGUUACAUGCUCUCAUCUGUGCUGAGUCUGCCACAGGAUCUCAUGAAUGAUCUUGAGAUGCAGAACAUCUCAAAGAAUACUGAUCAGAAACACCCGCUCCUGCUCAGUCACCAUGAUGAAAGAGCGAGAAGACUCCAUCAGCUUCCUGUCCUAGAUGGUUUUGAUGUCAUCAGAAUUGAAGCAGACAUCAUGAAGACAAGCCAUGUGUGGACCAACCUGAUGUCCAGAUACGCUGAGAGCCCCAUUGAUAGACUGACCAGAUCACAGGAACUACUGCAUUUCUGCACAGUAGAUGAAAACGGCUGUAUCAAAGGAUCUCAAUCAGAUCCUCCUAAACCCACACCAUGGGACAACCCUGUUGAAUUCACCAAACGCCUGUACUUGAGCAACAGAAGGACACCAGGUGUGACGAGAGAGCACAAGAGCAGCCAUAACAUUUUAUUUCAAGUGAUACAAAUACAUUUAAAAUCCAAACAAAUAUUUUUAAAGCAAUGUUGAAGUCUUUUGUUGUACACAUCAGUUUUUAUUAUUUCUUAAGGAUCAGCUAAAAGCAGUGCUGGGACUGAUGCACACAUGGUAUGACUGAAGUUUUAGGGGAAAAAGCAGAAAUUUAAGAUUAUAUAAUUUCAUUAAACAUAUCAUGAGCAAGUGAUUGGAUUUCAAUAUAUUAAUAAAUUUAAUCAAAGCAGGGUCAUGAAGUAAUUGUACCAGAUCUCCAGAAGUCAUUGAUUCAUCAGCUGGAACACUGGUAUAUUUGUGAAAAUAUUCAAAUGUAACUCCCUUUGUAAUCAUUAACAAUAUCAUAGUUAACUGUAAUUUAAUUACAGUUUACAUUACAUUAACAGAUUACAGCUACAUUUAUUUUGCAAUCAAAUACGUAAUUUAGUUACAUGUAACUAGUUACUGCCCAACACUGGUCAGGUCUGAUGAUACAAAAUAAAGAACUGAAUUUUUCAAGUGUUGGAAUGGAAAUGGCAGAUGAGGGAUGAAACAGGGACGUUCACAAACUGUCUCAGACGAAUGUCCGCCGAGCGUCCGCCAGCGAACGUCAAAAGGUGAACCAAAUCUUGACCCAGCGAACGUUAUAAAGCGGACCAAAUCCCGAACAUUAUAAAGCGGACGUACUGCCGACCUAAGCAGACGUUCGGAACGUCAAGGGGAUGUCCCCUGUUAGUUGGGGAACUGACUCAUGAUUCGCGAUUCCCAAACUGACUCAAUGAUCUCGCUACGAACUCCCGAACUGAUUCAAAUGAUUUGCGAUCCCGAACUGACUCAAAUGAUUCGCGAACCCGCUACGAACCAUAGACAGUAAAAGCUUGACGACGUCUGCAACCUGUCUGACGGAUGUAAAUCUUCUAAGUGGCUUUGCGUGCAAACUGCCAUCCUUAAUCUUGCAGAGACGGCGAGCUUGAGCGGGGAGUUCUUUGUCGUGAGUGAGCAGGAGUAAGUAUUCUGAUUAAUUAUUUUGUAUAGUAUUUUAAAAUGUAACGCCAGUACGCCAUAUUAAGUUAAUUGCCUGCGAGCUUCUCCUCCUGUCUGUACGGUAAUGCGACAGAGAGACGAGUGGUUAUGACGCAAUCGUUAGCCUAUUUUUUACAAAAACUGUUUAUACGGGGCCAUAAUGUAACAUAGAAGGUAAUGGAGCCCUUUAUACAUUGUCGUGUAUCUUUAGAAAUAAAUAAUGGACAAACGGAGUCUUUAAACGCCUCAGAUGUAAAGUUAUUCGCUGUCAAAGUGAGGCCAAAAUGAAUGCGAGUCAAUGGGAACGCUAACGCAAGUGAAGUUCUGCUAAAAGAUGGCAGCCCCCACCCGACUUCAACUUCCGGUCGAGUUCCUUGCCCACUGCUACGAACUCCCGAAUAGACUCAAAUGAUUCGCGAUCCCUUUCCAAACUCCCGAACUGACUCAAAUGAUUCGCGAACCUGCUCCGAACUCCCAAACUAAUUCAAAUGUUCCGCGAAGCUGCUCCGAACUCUCGAAUUGAUUCAAAUGAUUCGCGAACCCGCUCCGAACAAAAAAAGGUCCCCAAGACGUCCCCUAAAUGGCCUCUGCAAACGUCCCCCAGACGUCAACGUGUAGGGUUUGCUUGACGUCGAGUGGACGUUCGCGAAGACGUCCUCCGGAUAUUCAUGGGGACGUCCACAGGACGUGCAGCGGCCAUUCAGGACAUUUAGGGGACUUUCGCUUUAAAUCCUCAAAAUGUCAUUUUAUUGUACUUUUAAGCUAAUCAAAGACAAUAGACAUGCUGUAUGAAGCAAAAUACGUUUAUUUUAAUUGAACAAUCAUAAAGUUGCAGGGCUAUUUUCGUGUGUGUGUGUGUGUGUGUGUGUGUGUGUGUGUGUGUGUUUUGGUGGAUGGUGUGUCCGUGUGUCUCUGGUUGUCAGCUGUGGUUAGUCGAUGGCAUUUCUUCCUAUUGUCUUCUAACCUAAAACAACAAAAUGAACAUAUUCAGUAGUGUUAUGACUUUAUAUGUCUAACGUUAGGUCUAUCAUUUAUCCAUUGACAAAAGAUUAGUAAAGACUGAAAUUUAGCGGACAUAACUUAUGCCUUUUUGCCGCACGUUAGGCGUCUCAGUAUGUAUUUUUACCAUCUGGAAAUUAAAUAUUUAAGUUCAAUAUCUGCCAAUAUUAUAUAUGUUUAAUCAUUUCAGCUUUACAAGCUAAGCUUGGAGCAGCCACGCGGGACAACUUCAGAAAAGGUUUUAAAAGGUAAACUUCAUCAAAUGUAAGCAUUUGGAGAUAAACAGUAGUUACGGUAGAUAUAAUAUCUAAUAAUAUAAAAUAAUAAAUACCUUUUUGACCAAGCAAAAGCGAAAACUCAAGGCCAUGUCUGAGGAAAUCACCAGAUGACCAUUAACUGUCACUAGCGACUGAGCAUUGCCAUGGAUACAUGCCGCGUGCCCUAAAGUGACGUCAUUAGGUCAUGUGCUCUUUUGAUCUACAGCUGCUUGGAUCCUAUCUCCAGUGUGGCUAUAUUACUUUUUUAUUAGAUCUCCAUGUAGUAUAGCAGUCUUAAAUGCAAUAACUAAAAUAAUUUAUUUCCUAAAUAACUUUUCUUGUCGGCUUACCAACAGUUUAUACUUAAAAAAAAAAAAAAAAAGCGGACCAAAUCCGAACGUCCGCCGAACGUCCGCCAGCGAACGUUAUAUAGCGGACGUACUGCGGACCUAAGCGACGUUCGUCCCCUGUUUGCUGGGGAACUGACUCAAAUGAUUCGCGAUCCCGCUCCGAACUCCCAAGCUGACUCAAAUGAUUCGCGAUCCCCAAACUGACUCAAAUGAUUCGCGAUUCCGCUAAGAACUCCCGAACUGAUUCAAAUGAUUCGCGAUCCCGCUACGAACUCCCGAACUGACUCAAAUGAUUCGCGAACCCGAACCGAACUCUCGAACUGAUUCAAAUGAUCCGCGAAGCCGAGGAGCCGCUCCGAACUCCCGAACUGAUUCAAAUGAUUUGCGAUCCCCAAAUUGACUCAAAUGAUUCGUGAUCCCGUAUCGAACUCCCAAACUGACUCAAAUGAUUCGCGAACGCGCUCCGAACUCCCGAACUGACUCAAAUGAUAUCUAAUUUAGAACCUAACCAACAUUUUUCCAUUAUAAUACUCUGUCCAAUUACCCGUUCCUGUAGUUGCUGGUCUAUACAGAUGGCAUUGGCCACAGGAAACCAGAUUGUGAGACCUAUGAAUUUUGCUCUUUUCAUACAGUACUGGCUUGCAGCUCUCCUGCAGUCAGAGCAAACUGAAUAAAACAAGAGGACAAACUCUCCAACCUCCUGUGGCCAAUGCCAUCUGUAUAGACCAGCAACUACAGGAAAGGUAAUUGGACAGAGUAGUAUUAUAAUGGAAAAAUGUUGGUUAGGUUCUAAAUUAGAUAUGCAUUGUUUAGCUUGGCAUUCAAUUCAUCAUUACUAAAUCUCCAAAACCAAUCUCUCCUUCAGAAAUAUGUGUUUCUGAGGUGCCUGAGGUACAUUGUGAGCCCAGAGACGAUUCCUCUCUUCCACUGUUCCUCAAUCUGAAUGUAUCUCUUCCCAGUGGACUUAUCCUGCACUUUGAUUGUGAGGACUCAGCAGGUGAGAUGCUUUUUUGUGUACAAAACUGAUUCAUGCACUGUAAAGUUUAUCCAUUUCUGCUCUGUAUUAAUCAUGAUAAAACAUUAGUAAACGCACACUGAGUUGUCAUGAC